GGGCGUGUAGUGUAUUUGGUUACUACCUUCGCUCAGCGGUCUUCGUGACGCUAGCGAAAGGCAUCUGGUUCGAUUCCGGACAUGUCUA